GGAGGCUUAGCUCAGUGGCAGAGCAUCUGCCUUGAAUGCAGAAGUCCCCAAAUUCAGUCCCUGGCAUCUCCA